GGGUCUGAGCAUUGCCCACAUUGCCAGGGGCUGUGGACCAGAGUUGCCGGGGAUACUGGUCUGUUUAUAUAGUGUUUGGGUCCCCAACUUCCCCUUCCUCUACUGAUUAUGAACCUCUUGUGCGUACACGGGGAGAGAUACAUGGCAGUCUUGAGGCCACUCCAGCCCAGGGGGAGGCAUUCGGGUGGACGCGGUCCUCAAUUGGGGAUGAUUACCCGCUUCUGGCCAGUGUGCCCCGCUCUUCCGUAGGUGAACCUGCGGAAGGAUCAUUAAAUAAUUUAGAUGGCCUUUGCUAGUUUUCUAGCGAAUGGUUCAUUCUUUUUUACUGUGAACUGUUUUAAUUUUUCAGCGUCUGAGGAAUGUCUUUUAGCCAUAGGGAUAGGCUACUAGAAUGUUAACCGAGCUGAAAGUCAGGCUUAGGCCUGGUAUCCUAUUAAUUAUUUACCAAAAGAAUUCAGUAUUAUAAUUGUAACAUAAGCGUAAAAAACUUAUAAAACAACUUUUAACAACGGAUCUCUUGGUUCUCGCAUCGAUGAAGAACGUAGCAAAGUGCGAUAACUAGUGUGAAUUGCAUAUUCAGUGAAUCAUCGAGUCUUUGAACGCAACUUGCGCUCAAUGGUAUUCCAUUGAGCACGCCUGUUUCAGUAUCAAAAACACCCCACAUUCAUAAUUUUGUUGUGAAUGGAAAUGAGAGUUUCGGCUUUAUUGCUGAAUUCUUUAAAAUUAUUAGGCCUGAACUAUUGUUCUUUCUGCCUGAACAUUUUUUUAAUAUAAAGGAAUGCUCUAGUAAAAAGACUAUCUCUGGGGCCUCCCAAAUAAAUCAUUCUUAAAUUUGAUCAGACAUCAGGCGGGAUUACCCGCUGAACUUACUCAUAUCAAUAAGGGGAGGAGAUGGACCGCUCGCUCCCUGCCACGAAGUCCGCUGAUCACCCGCCGUAG
rnacentral:autocatalytically_spliced_intron from 1 species